GGUGGCUUAGUGGUAGAGUGCUUGCCUUGCAUGCAAGAGGCCCUAGGUUCGAUUCCUCAGCACCA
rnacentral:tRNA from 1 species